CCGUGAUGAACUAACCGUCUGUCGCUGGGAAGAAGCUUAACUUGGGGGAAACUGCCACGAAAAUAAAACUUUAAACAUAAAUAAUCUCAUAUGUUGCCUUUCUUUCCUAAAAAAAAAGAAAGUCUAUAUUUUAUAUGUAUUUGCUUUUUGCAUUUUUAUAAUAAAAAUUGAAUAUUUAAUUUUAGAGUAGUUUUUAAGUCACAUAUUCUUUUUUUGCUCGGCGCCACAAAAAUAAAGUGUCCCUGUCCUUGCACACCUUUGGGAAGGGUAAGGGUCAGGCACGGAUCGCCGCGACCUAAGGACCUUGUCCUUUUGAGUAGCGGUAGCGGGCGGAGCGUCCCUGUCCUUUGGGAGAGGGAAGGGAAGAGGAAUAACUUACUAGAUAAAAACAUUUAUGUUAAGCUAUUUAGUAUCUGUUAACCCAUUUAAGUAACAUCUCAAAAGUCAUAGCAAGGUAGAUUGUACUGGAA
rnacentral:rRNA from 1 species